rnacentral:rRNA from 1 species
GAUGAACGCUGGCGGCGUGCCUAAUACAUGCAAGUCGAGCGAACGGACGAGAAGCUUGCUUCUCUGAUGUUAGCGGCGGACGGGUGAGUAACACGUGGAUAACCUACCUAUAAGACUGGGAUAACUUCGGGAAACCGGAGCUAAUACCGGAUAAUAUUUUGAACCGCAUGGUUCAAAAGUGAAAGACGGUCUUGCUGUCACUUAUAGAUGGAUCCGCGCUGCAUUAGCUAGUUGGUAAGGUAACGGCUUACCAAGGCAACGAUGCAUAGCCGACCUGAGAGGGUGACCGCCCACCAGGGAACUGAGACACGGCCCAGACUCCGAGGGGAGGGAGAGGAAGGGACUCUUCCGCAAGGGGCGAAAGCCUGAGGGCGCAACGCGGGGGGAGUAAUGAAGGUCUCGGGAUCUUAAAACUCUUUUAUGGGGGAAAAAAAUAUGUUAAAGAAACUGUCCACAUCUGGCCGGUCCCUAAUCAAAAAGCCACGGCAAACUCCGGG